AGUGAACGCUGGCGGUAGGCCUAACACAUGCAAGUCGAACGGCAGCACAGUAAGAGCUUGCUCUUACGGGUGGCGAGUGGCGGACGGGUGAGGAAUACAUCGGAAUCUACUUUUUCGUGGGGGAUAACGUAGGGAAACUUACGCUAAUACCGCAUACGACCUACGGGUGAAAGCAGGGGAUCUUCGGACCUUGCGCGAUUGAAUGAGCCGAUGUCGGAUUAGCUAGUUGGCGGGGUAAAGGCCCACCAAGGCGACGAUCCGUAGCUGGUCUGAGAGGAUGAUCAGCAACACUGGAAUUGAGACACGGUCCAGACUCCUACGGGAGGCAGCAGUGGGGAAUAUUGGACAAUGGGCGCAAGCCUGAUCCAGCCAUACCGCGUGGGUGAAGAAGGCCUUCGGGUUGUAAAGCCCUUUUGUUGGGAAAGAAAAGCAGCAGGUUAAUACCCCGCUGUUCUGACGGUACCCAAAGAAUAAGCACCGGCUAACUUCGUG
rnacentral:rRNA from 1 species